UCCCAGACUCCUACGGGAGGCAGCAGUGGGGAAUAUUGGGCAAUGGGCGAAAGCCUGACCCAGCAACGCCGCGUGAAGGAAGAAGGCUUUCGGGUUGUAAACUUCUUUUGACAGGGAAGAGCAGAAGACGGUACCUGUCGAAUAAGCCACGGCUAACUACGUGCCAGCAGCCGCGGUAAUACGUAGGUGGCAAGCGUUGUCCGGAUUUACUGGGUGUAAAGGGCGUGUAGCCGGGCUGACAAGUCAGAUGUGAAAUCCGGGGGCUCAACCCCCGAACUGCAUUUGAAACUGUUGGUCUUGAGUAUCGGAGAGGCAGGCGGAAUUCCUAGUGUAGCGGUGAAAUGCGUAGAUAUCGCGCAGAACUCCGAUUGCGAAGGCAGCAUGCCGGCUCCACACUGACGCUGAGGCACGAAAGCGUGGGUAUCGAACAGGAUUAGAUACCCCGGUACC
rnacentral:rRNA from 1 species